UACAGGGGGGGCAAGCGUUGUUCGGAAUUACUGGGCGUAAAGGGCUCGUAGGUGGCCAACUAAGUCAGACGUGAAAUCCCUCAGCUUAACUGGGGAACUGCGUCUGAUACUGGAUGGCUUGAGUUUGGGAGAGGGAUGCGGAAUUCCAGGUGUAGCGGUGAAAUGCGUAGAUAUCAGGAAGAACACCCGUGGCGAAAGCGGCUCUCUGGAACGGUACUGACGCUGAGACGCGAAAGCGUGGGGAGCGAACAGG
rnacentral:rRNA from 1 species